rnacentral:rRNA from 1 species
UGGGGGAUAUUGCACAAUGGGCGAAAGCCUGAUGCAGCGACGCCGCGUGGGGGAUGAAGGCCUUCGGGUUGUAAACUUCUUUUGCUCUGAACAAGGCAUGCUAAUGGGUGUGUUGAGUGUAGGGGUUGAUUAGCGCCGGCUAACUACGUGCCAGCAGCCGCGGUAAUACGUAGGGCGCGAGCGUUGUCCGGAAUUAUUGGGCGUAAAGGGCUUGUAGGUGGCUGGUUGCGUCUGUCGUGAAAGCUCAUGGCUUAACUGUGGGUUUGCGGUGGGUACGGCCUGGCUUGAGUGCAGUAGGGGAGGCUGGAAUUCCUGGUGUAGCGGUGGAAUGCGCAGAUAUCAGGAGGAAUACCGGUGGCGAAGGCGGGUCUCUGGGCUGUUACUGACACUGAGGAGCGAAAGCAUGGGGAGCGAACAGG